UCUCUCACCAUUUUCUUGCGGGUGUAUUCCACGGCCCGGAGGUCAGCAAGUCUCUCCUCUUCUUUCUUGCGCUCCUUGGCCAGAAAGCUUUCCUCAUUAAUACGAAGGAUCUCCUGCUGCAAACGCUGCCUCUCCUCCUUCUUUCUCUCCAGAGCCUGGGGGAGAACCACACACAGGUUCUCCAGCAUUUGCUGGCCCUCCUGCUCUUUUAUCUCAUCCUGCAGCAUCCUGUCCUCCAGUCGCUCCUCAAUCUGUUUCACAAUCAGCUGCUUUCCCCUAAAGAGACAAACAUCAAAAAUAGCACGACAGCACAGAAGGGAGUGUUGUAUAUGCUGUGUAUUUGACGUUAAAUUGGUCUUUGUUUGUUUGUGUGAGCAAGAGUGCCCUCACUGGAUCCUCUGAUGUUUGCGCAGCUCAUCGAUCUGCUCCUGGGCCUCCAGGGCUUUCCUGCGGUCCACCUCCAUCAUGGCAUCAAGCCGCCUCUCCUCCUCCUGCAGUUCAGUCAGGAUCUGCUGCCUCUCCAAGAUCUGGGCGUCCCGCACUGCAUGGCACUGGGCACCCAGGAUCAACUGGGCCACCACAAUAAGGUACUGAGCUCUUUCCUUUGCCUCAGCUUCCAGCUCGCUUAGACCCUGGUUCUUCUGACGGGACAGAUCAGCCUGACGGAUAUGUGCCUUCCUCUCCUCAGCAGCAUCCUGGCCAGGAAAACCAGAAACAUUGUGGAACGGUGCAAGUGGUUUGCUUUCUUGCUGUUAACGUUUACACAAGGGUGUAGAGCCGAAGCUGGGCCCUGUAGUAUCAGUUCACCAAGUUUUCAUGUGGGAAAGAGCGCUUACAAAGUCAUCAUCCUCUCUAGAGUUGCAAAAUUGUAUCCAAUGUUUUCUGAAUAACCUGAUUAAGUACACAAUCCAAAGAGAAUAAGAACAAUAUCCUGAAUCUUUUAAACAAGAUUUUAGGAAAAUACGGGAAAGUUACUGGAACUUUACGUCCUUUCUCACCAUAGCCAUUUCUCUCUCCUUCUGCUGGGCUUCCAACAUUGCCUCCCGCUCCUCCCUGGUUGGAACUCGAGAAGCAGUGGCAAUCCUCUGAAUCUCAGAGGGGCGCAGAAUGAUGGACAGCCCAGAUGGAUCCUCACUCGGGAUCCUGGGAAAAUUACAAAAUUAUUUGUUUUUUAUUUGUAAUUCACCACCUGAAAGAUGUAACUGUCUGAAUAUCUUUAUUAGUGCAAUUCAAGUUCAUGCAUUCUUUUUAAUGAUAUUGCAGUAUUAAGCAAAGUACAAAAAAAUGUAUUUGCACAUAGCAGAGUAAUUGCUUCACAUAGUGUGAGAAAAAUUACUUAAAUGUAAAAUAAAACAAUUAAACACAAGUUGUGGAAUGCUGAAAAUACAUUAGACGUGAUUAACACAUUCACAGUAUAACAGAAUGAGAAAUAAAGGUAUAGACAAAUACUU